rnacentral:rRNA from 1 species
AUGUCGACGGGCGGCGUGAUCCCUCUCCUCCAUCGAGCAGCGGCGGCGGCGCGGGACGCAGCUGGCUCGGCCUCCGUCGUUGGCGGCGGCGUCCCUCACCCCUCGACCAUCGACAGCAGCAGGGGACGCAACGGGCAGCCAGGGACGCGGCGCUGGGUGCGAGGCGCGGCGGUGAACCUGCGGGAGCCGGCCCUGCCAUGGGGACUGCAGGGUAGAGGGUGCAUGCGUGAAGGAGGCGCGUCCCUCCUGCUUCCGGCGUGCCGCGGCAUGGGCCUCCCUGCUGUCGGCGUGCUCCCUGAUGCCAACUCCUCUUUCCUCCGCCGCUGA